CUUGCUUUCUUUGCUGGCGACCGGCGCACGGGUGAGUAACACGUAUCCAACCUGCCCUUUACCCGGGGAUAGCCUUUCGAAAGAAAGAUUAAUACCCGAUAGUAUAAUGAUUCCGCAUGGUUUCAUUAUUAAAGGAUUCCGGUAAAGGAUGGGGAUGCGUUCCAUUAGGUUGUUGGUGAGGUAACGGCUCACCAAGCCUUCGAUGGAUAGGGGUUCUGAGAGGAAGGUCCCCCACAUUGGAACUGAGACACGGUCCAA
rnacentral:rRNA from 1 species